rnacentral:rRNA from 1 species
GACGAACGCUGGCGGCGUGCCUAAUACAUGCAAGUCGAGCGCAGGAAGCCGUCUGAACCCUUCGGGGGGACGACGGUGGAACGAGCGGCGGACGGGUGAGUAACACGUAAAGAACCUGCCCAUAGGUCUGGGAUAACCACGAGAAAUCGGGGCUAAUACCGGAUGUGUCAUCGGACCGCAUGGUCCGCUGAUGAAAGGCGCUCCGGCGUCGCCCAUGGAUGGCUUUGCGGUGCAUUAGCUAGUUGGUGGGGUAACGGCCCACCAAGGCGACGAUGCAUAGCCGACCUGAGAGGGUGAUCGGCCACACUGGGACUGAGACACGGCCCAGACUCCUACGGGAGUCAGCAGUAGGGAAUCUUCCACAAUGGACGAAAGUCUGAUGGAGCAACGCCGCGUGAACGAUGAAGGCUUUCGGGUCGUAAAGUUCUGUUGUAAGGGAAGAACAAGUGCCGCAGGCAAUGGCGGCACCUUGACGGUACCUUGCGAGAAAGCCACGGCUAACUACGUGCCAGCCGCCGCGGUAAAAC